GUGAUAGAGGCGCGGAAACGAUCAGUAGUUUUCUGAGGGACACCAAAGAGGAAAAUGAAAGGCCAACCGCCGAAGCAGGACCGUGGGUACAUGGCCGUGCUGGGCUGCAGAUCAAGAAUCUGCAGACUGUCGCCUUAGGGUGGAGAGCUAUCA
rnacentral:ncRNA from 1 species